rnacentral:rRNA from 1 species
CCUUACGGUACUAAUUGAAAGCUCGGGUAGAGUAGAGUAGAGUAGAGUAGAGUGUUCUCUUUUUCCACUUUACAUAUCACGACUUUCCGAUGUUUAUAAGCCGGCGUUGUCCGCCUCGCCGACGGAACGGGGGGCGAUCUAAAGUCCUCGGGCGAAGCCGGCGCAGCGAAGCGACGAGGCGGGGGUGUUGCGUGCGCGGGUGGAAGGAAGGAAGGGAGGGUCGGCAGGCUAGCGGGUGUGCACCGGCGCGGCGGGCGGGAUAUGGCGGGCGCCGGAGCGGCUGCGGCGAGGAAAAACAGGAGGCCGCCUCCGCCGGCCUCGCCGGAUCCCAAGGCCGCUCAGGGACGAGGCCCGGGUUAGGAGCCAGCUUGACCUCCUGUGCGCAUCGGGGCCGAAGAAGACGCCGCUGGAGACCACGCCGGAGUACCUCGGGUUCGGGUUGUGGCGCGAGCGGGCGUUCGGAUAUCUUCUCCGUCAUCUGUUGAACUGCUAACUACGAUCGUGCUUCCGUUCGUUGCCGUUGAACGGACGACGUUUUCUGCACUCAAGAAGCCUACGUUAUAGUACGUAAAGGAGCCGUCUACGUCGAUCAUGACGACGGUUCCUACGACUCUACUUGGUUCAUUGAAUAUACCCCCUGGUUCCCUACACAAUGAUGCCCAUGAUAAUAGGUCCGAGUAAACCUCCUACCCUACUCUUAUCGAUGAUACGACCUAGCUUACCUGACCUCUACGUUGGCUGUCACCAAGUUCGACUCUUACCUAGAAUAAACACAAUACAAGGCCCAAUGCUUUUACCUAUAUGACGAAUAUCAGGUCAGCAAGGACCUUUACCGCACCUACCAGUCAUACAGUCGUUUCUCGGUAUAAUGAGGCGACACCAAGGUCACGUCCUGGGAAGAUGUGGACCGUACAUACGAGUUGGUUAACGAAUGCCUGGACUCGAUCAGGGGCGUAUGUGUACCCUGGGAAUACAAGAAGACCUACCCCAAGUCCCUGUAGGACAACCACACGUGGUUUGCUUGAUGGGAUGUUCUAGUUUGAUGGGAAGGUUAUUCGUACGACAAGGUAGAAGUUUUCGAAGUGCGUCGUGUUUCAUACGUAGUCCAUGGUGGUUUCCUAGUAGUAGUCGACAUCUGUGUCACGGUUGGAGGCGGUUAUUGGUAGGUAGUAGUUUCAAACGUUUAUUCCAUAGACCACGAAGGUAUUGUUUUCCCGUAGAAGGCAGAUCGUUCAAACACCGCGUAUGAUUGGUUCCCUUUCCUUCGAAAAUAGUUUCAUUUCCGUAAUUAAACUUACUUUCACCAUCUUUGACGUUGCCCUUACUCUUCGACUUCCGGUCCUCGUUCGAUUUACUUAAACCACUGGCACUGCAUAGUCUAUUUGGGUUGCUACUGAGUUUUUUGUCAAACUCGGGUCCUCGUCUAGCAAAACCGAACAGCCCACAUGUUCUCCAAUUGCUACUGUAUGGAAGUGAACAACGUCAUUCUUCUCUAAGUAUAUUAGAAGGACUAAAACAAUGCUUCAUACUCGUUCGAAAUAAGAAGCACUAAUUUAGAAUAUCACUUCUACUAUAAGUGUUCUCAUAGUUCAUGUUACAAACCCGUUCAUGAGGAUUACCUUUGUUUUCCGAACUGUUACGGAUAUUUUAACGUGUUCUUUCUUACCGUCCUUUUCCUUGGUUUACGGGACAAAAGGAGAAGAAAAGACAAUUACGAUCACCAGUCAAGACACCACACCGACUCUACGAACCGGGUCAUCUAAAGUUGUUCUCAUACUUGAAGACCGUUGUCCUGUUCACCUUACCUAAGAAGGGUCAUUUUACCGUGUAAUAGUUCCUACACGGAUUAGGAGUUAAAGCUGUGUAUUAUAACCUCUUAUUACUCUUGUUCGGACAAUGUUUGUCGUCCCUGUGAGUUCUCCAGUUCAAGGAUGUUCCACGUCUCUACGACUUGUAAAAGUUCUUGAAAAGUACGUUUUGCAGUUAUAACCUACUGAAACUGAAGAUACUCUUAUCCGUCUUUCAUUACGUCCUGUCUUCUCCGUUCGGCGAAUGAUGUAGUAACCUAGUGGAGUGCGGCUUCCUACUCUUUGGCAGUCUCAGACUUUUCGUUCGAGUUAGACGUACAUUGCAUCUCGUAGUAUUACGGUUCUCUUUGCUCCUCGUCUCGUUGCUACAAUGUUGUCUACAACUAUGUCGGUUCUGUUCAGUCUUCGUCUAGUUACACCUAGGCCGUCUACAACUAUGUCGGUUCUGUCCAGUCUUCGUCUCGUUGCACCUACGCCGUCUAGAACUAUGUUGGUUCUGUUCACUCGUCUCGUUUCACCAACGUCGUCUACAACUAUGUCGGUUCUGUUCACUCCCCUCGUUACCACAACGUCGUCUAGAACUACGUAGUUUGUCUUCGCUCCUUGUCUCGUUGUUCCAGUGGCGGCGCUACGAACUACUAUGUCCGUUCUCUUCGCUCCUCGUCUGCUCGUCGCAGCGGCGCCGUCCGACUACUGUCCUACCCGCGUAGACCUGCCUUCGAUGUAGGUUUAGCUCGCUGUUAUUUAACGACGCGCCUCGUGACUAUCUACCAGUUAGUAGGACCUUCGAGGAGAGGCAACCAGCCAGUUCGCCUCUUGUUCUCGGAACCUCGACAGAAGGGCACUCUUUACAAAAGUUACUGGCCCUUUUUUUUCCAAGACUCCGUAUAGUACCGACCAUCUCUUAAGGGGUACGAUGUGAGGAACAGAUAAAAAGUCGGUCCUCCUCCCUCACAAGGUUAGUAAAAAGAAGGACAAGAACAAAGAAGACAACAACAGCAGCAGUAGAUUAUAGGUCAAGAUAACGAUUACACAACUCUUCGUCUGGUGAACGGCACACCCAAAUUCCCGGACAAAAUCCAAGAUCGUUUCCAUCUUUUUUCCUUCCCUUUUUUUCUCAGGACGCAAAUCAAGGUGAUCACAUCUAACUGGAGUAGAACAUGGUAGUCUUAAUGAAGGUAAACUGCUCUUUUCCUCUUCUUUUUUUACCUGGUCUCUAGACAAGC